CGCACGGGUGAGUAACGCGUGGGGAUCUGCCCUUUGGUACGGGAUAACGUUUGGAAACGAACGCUAAUACCGUAUGUGUUCUACGGAACAAAGAUUUAUCGCCAAAGGAUGAACCCGCGUAGGAUUAGGUAGUUGGUGGGGUAAUGGCCUACCAAGCCGACGAUCUUUAGCUGGUCUGAGAGGACGAUCAGCCACACUGGAACUGAGACACGGUCCAGACUCCUACGGGAGGCAGCAGUGAGGAAUAUUGGACAAUGGGCGCAAGCCUGAUCCAGCCAUGCCGCGUGAGUGAAGAAGGCCCUAGGGUUGUAAAGCUCUUUCGCCAGGGAAGAUAAUGACGGUACCUGGUAAAGAAGUCCCGGCUAACUCCGUGCCAGCAGCCGCGGUAAUACGGAGGGGACUAGCGUUGUUCGGAAUUACUGGGCGUAAAGAGUACGUAGGCUGUCAGUCAAGUUGGGUGUGA
rnacentral:rRNA from 1 species